CACCAGCGCCACGAGUGGCAGCCGUUUAUUUGGCCUAAAGCGUCCGUAGCUGGUAGUGUAAAUUCUUUGUGAAAUUGUCGAGCUUAACUUUACAACGUGCAGAGAACACUGCAUUACUUGAGACCGGGAGGAGUCAGAGGUAUUUCUGGGGGAGCGGUAAAAUGCUAUAAUCCCAGGAAGACCACCUGUGGCGAAGGCGUCUGACUAGAACGGAUCUGACAGUGAGGGACGAAAGCCAGGGGAGCAAACCGG
rnacentral:rRNA from 1 species